rnacentral:rRNA from 1 species
CCUACGGGUGGCAGCAGUGAGGAAUAUUGGUCAAUGGCCGGAAGGCUGAACCAGCCAUGCCGCGUGAAGGUCAGUGCCCUAUGGGCGUUAAACUUCUUUUGUGCGGGAGCAAUAAUGGUCACGUGUGGCCAGACGAGAGUACCGUACGAAUAAGCCUCGGCUAACUCCGUGCCAGCAGCCGCGGUAAUACGGGGGAUGCAAGCGUUAUACGGAUUUAUUGGGGUUAAAGGGUGCGUAGGCUGUGAGGUAAGUCAGCGGUGAAAUGCCCCCGCUCAACGGGGUGAAGUGCCAUUGAUACUGCCUUGCUGGAAUGCGGAUGCAGUGGGAGGAAUGUGUGGUGUAGCGGUGAAAUGCAUAGAUAUCACACAGAACACCGAUUGCGAAGGCAUCUCACGAAUCCGCGAUUGACGCUGAUGCACGAAAGCGUGGGUAUCAAACAGGAUUAGAUACCCCUGUAGUC